UCUCCAUUAGAGCACAUGUGCUGAAGGAAGAGGACAUUAUUUCCUCCCUGGAAGCUGUCAAAGUGAAUGGCCAGCCAAGUCAAAAAUUGAAAGAAACCACACAGUAUGUGGGCUGGGUGGAUGAAGAAUAUGGUGGAAUUGAAGUCAAGGAUAUCCAUCAAUUGGGAAGAAAUGACUGAACAAGUUGUGGCACAUGGAUAUGAUGGAAUACUACUGCACUAUAAGAAAUGAUGAACACAUUGGUUUAAAAAACAUGGAAAGAUCUGCAUAAAAUUAAGAAAAGUGAAAUGAAUAAAACCAAGAGAACAUAUACA
rnacentral:lncRNA from 1 species